GGGCAUUGAUAUUAGUUUGUGUUUCGACCACAAAUAUGGCUUUUGCCCAGUGUCCG
rnacentral:tRNA from 1 species